rnacentral:rRNA from 1 species
ACCCGCUGAACUUAAGCAUAUCAAUAAGCGGAGGAAAAGAAACCAACAGGGAUUGCCCUAGUAACGGCGAGUGAAGCGGCAACAGCUCAAAUUUGAAAUCUGGCGUCUUUGGCGUCCGAGUUGUAAUUUGCAGAGGGCGCUUUGGCAUUGGCAGCGGUCCAAGUUCCUUGGAACAGGACGUCACAGAGGGUGAGAAUCCCGUACGUGGUCGCUAGCCUUUACCGUGUAAAGCCCCUUCGACGAGUCGAGUUGUUUGGGAAUGCAGCUCUAAAUGGGAGGUAAAUUUCUUCUAAAGCUAAAUACUGGCCAGAGACCGAUAGCGCACAAGUAGAGUGAUCGAAAGAUGAAAAGCACUUUGGAAAGAGAGUUAAAAAGCACGUGAAAUUGUUGAAAGGGAAGCGCUUGCAGCCAGACUUGCCUGUAGUUGCUCAUCCGGGUUUUUACCCGGUGCACUCUUCUAUAGGCAGGCCAGCAUCAGUUUGGGCGGUUGGAUAAAGGUCUCUGUCAUGUACCUCUCUUCGGGGAGAACUUAUAGGGGAGACGACAUGCAACCAGCCCGGACUGAGGUCCGCGCGUCUGCUAGGAUGCUGGCGUAAUGGCUGU